rnacentral:rRNA from 1 species
AUUGAACGCUGGCGGCGUGCUUAACACAUGCAAGUCGAUCGGGAACAGGUGUAGCAAUACAUGCUGACGAGAGGCGGACGGGUGAGGAACGCUUGGGAAUCUGCCUAUCAGCGGGGGACAACCCGGGGAAACCCGGGCUAAUACCGCAUACGCUCUACGGAGGAAAGCCGGGGACCGCAAGGCCUGGCACUGAUAGAUGAGCCCAAGUCGGAUUAGCUAGUUGGCGGGGUAACGGCCCACCAAGGCGACGAUCCGUAGCUGGUCUGAGAGGACGAUCAGCCACACCGGAACUGAGACACGGUCCGGACUCCUACGGGAGGCAGCAGUGGGGAAUAUUGGACAAUGGGCGAAAGCCUGAUCCAGCGACGCCGCGUGGGUGAAGAAGGCCUGCGGGUUGUAAAGCCCUUUCGGUAGGGACGAAAGCUCUCGACCUAACACGUCGGGAGGUUGACUUAACCUACAAAAGAAGCACCGGCUAACUCUGUGCCAGCAGCCGCCGUAACAC